GUGGGGAAUAUUGCACAAUGGGGGAAACCCUGAUGCAGCAACGCCGCGUGAGUGAUGACGGUCUUCGGAUUGUAAAGCUCUGUCUUUGGGGACGAUAAUGACGGUACCCAAGGAGGAAGCCACGGCUAACUACGUGCCAGCAGCCGCGGUAAUACGUAGGUGGCAAGCGUUGUCCGGAUUUACUGGGCGUAAAGGGAGCGUAGGUGGAUAUUUAAGUGGGAUGUGAAAUACUCGGGCUUAACCUGAGUGCUGCAUUCCAAACUGGAAGUCUAGAGUGCAGGAGAGGAGAGUGGAAUUCCUAGUGUAGCGGUGAAAUGCGUAGAGAUUAGGAAGAACACCAGUGGCGAAGGCGACUCUCUGGACUGUAACUGACGCUGAGGCUCGAAAGCGUGGGGAGCAAACAGGAUUAGAUACCCUAGUAGUCC
rnacentral:rRNA from 1 species